UGGAGUUUCCUCCUUGCUGUUCCUCUUAGGAACCCAGCUGCUGCGACAUGAGAACUCAAGCUUCCCUAUGGGAAGGUCUGCAUAGUGAGGAACAGAGGCCUCCAGCCAACAGCCACGUGCGUGAGCCUGCUCAGAAGCAUGUUAUCCAACUCCAGUCAAGCUUUUAGGUGCCUACAGCCCAGAACAACAUCUUGACUGCAUCUUGACUAUUCACAAGAGGCCCUGAGCCAGAACCAUCCAUCCAAACUGCUGUAGGAUUGCUGACCUCAGAAACCAGGCUGCCUCUUUUGAGAAGAGGGAGAAAAGAAGAAGAAGAGGGAGAUAAAAAGAAAAUGUUUGUGAAGCAGCCACCAAAAGUUAAAAGAAAAAACUUUAUGUCUAAAGGUCAAGUAGUUGGUGGCCACACCUGGGUGAAAGGCAGGGCCAAUCCUAGCAGUGAGGUUUCUGGGAGGUGGACGUGGGGACAAUGGCUCCCACACAGCCCACUGACUGCAUAGCUGGGGAGGCACCAUCCUAGCCAGGGUGAGGAGCAGGAUGCAGGCUGGACAUGCCGAGGUGCAGGCAGCUGCGUCCUCUCAGGCCUCUUGGCAGGAAGGAGAUGAUAUUUUUGCUUCCUCCUGUGGUGGCACCUAGCAGCUGUGGCCUCACUUUUUGUUCGCACAGUGGGAGUGCCCUGCAGUCAUGACCUCAGUGGCUUCCUCACUUUCUGGGACCUUUUGCAAAAUUCUUGUGGCUUGCCAUUUACGAACCUGGUGGCUUCAAUGCCUGCAGCACCUUAAAGCCAGAUUGCAAAGAGGCAAACUACAGGUGUGUGUCUUGUUCGCACCUGUCUCCCCAGUGACUAG
rnacentral:lncRNA from 10 species